GAGCGAGGAUUUCCACGAAAACAGCCACAGCAAACUGCGUACCAGUCCAAACGAGAGGGGUGUAAAGACGAACGCGGCCCGAGGCUCUGGACUCCGCGGAGUGACAGCCGAGUAGAUGGCGUUUUUAAACUUACCUAACGGUUUGAGGCCUUAAACAGAGACGUAAAGAAGAGCGAGAGAGUUUUUACGACAAUGAAUGCGAUCUCACUUGUUUGAUAGAAAGGACGGAGAGAGAGAGGGGCCGAACGCCCUCCCUCCGUAGAGCUCGUUCCGCCCGAUGGAGGUUGACGGGACGUUUUGCAGCGAGCUCGAGGCCCGGAAUGUCACCUGUGAAACGUCGGCACGUCGUCGCAGGACGUAAUUAAGAAAAGCUCGCGCACACCUGUCCACGACUUUUUUUUGUGAACUUCUUUGUAAAGCGGAAAAGCAAAAGUUAGCUGUGCGAUGCGAGCCCUCUCUCAACAUGACUAUCAUUGAUAACACAUAACGAGAGGUUCUUCACCGCCUCAGGUAACCUACCAGGACAGGUGAACGACGCACUCUUACCUGUUAACGGACUUUGAAUCUGAUACCAAUCUUCUACAAAGUUGUCUCAUUAUAUUUCACCAUCAGCAACUUGACUCCAGCCCUUUCCACUGAAUAGUUUUUGUGUGUAAAAACAAGGAGUUCUUGGAUAUUUUUUUGUGUCGCCUUUUCCAUCAAUCAUGUCACUCAAAGACAAUCCAUGUCGGAAAUUUCAAGCCAACAUUUUCAACAAAAGUAAAUGCCAGAACUGCUUCAAGCCCAGAGAGUCACAUUUGCUGAAUGACGAAGACCUAAAUCAGGCAAAACCUGUGUAUGGAGGGUGGCUGUUGCUGGCACCAGAGGGAACAAAUUUUGACAAUCCUCUGCACAGAUCUCGGAAAUGGCAAAGGAGGUUCUUCAUCCUGUACGAGCAUGGCUUGCUCCGCUAUGCUCUGGACGAAAUGCCCAGCACUCUCCCCCAGGGUACGAUCAACAUGAACCAGUGUUCAGACGUCAUCGAUGGAGAGUCCAGGACGGGGCAGAAGAACUCGCUGUGCAUCCUGACCCCUGAGAAAGAGCACUUUAUACGAGCUGAGUGCAAAGAAAUUAUCAACGGGUGGCAGGAGGCUCUGACUGUUUAUCCUCGGACCAAUAAGCAGAACCAGAAGAAGAAACGCAAGGUGGAUCCUCCCACUCACCAGGCUGGAUUUGCAGCUACUGAAGACAUGAAUGGACACCCAGAGCCCGGCCCGGCCAAGGUGACAGUGACCAGCAGCAGCAGCAGCGGGGGAAGCAUCCCCUGCCUGCCCAGCAGCAUCGCCAGCGCCGAGCGUGUCCCGAUGAGCCGCGCCACUCUGUGGCAAGAGGAGACCCGCUGGAGCAGGGCCACCAUCCCCUGCAGCCGCAGUGCCUCCUGCAUCAGCCAGCUGAACCAGAGCCAGCCAGAGUCCAGUAUCACUACUCAAGAUGAUGCUGCCACUGUGAGCACUGGACGUAAGGUACGAGUGGAGAGUGGUUACUUUUCCCUGGAGAAGACCAAGUCAGAGCCUUCUCCACAGUCUGCACCGCAUUUUCAGCCGCCCCAGCAUCUGCCCCUGUCCUCUUCAGCAUCCUCCUCCUCUUUAGGAGCUACCAGUCCCAGGUACAAGUCCGAGUCAGACCCCCAAACUUCCCCUUAUCAACCCUCCCAAGAUCCUUUCCCUUCUCCAGGUUCUCUGGUCUCCCCCAGCUACUCCACCAUCAGCUCCUCCCAGAGCUCGCUGGACUCUGAUCCCAGCGUGACUACACCUACCUGGGAGGGACACGGUGGUGGUGGAGGAAGCACUGGUAGUGUCAGUGGUGGUGGAGGAGGCAGAGUGGGCCGGCCCGGAAGGGAAUACACGGCUCUGUCGGAUGUGCCCCGUGCUCGCAGACUGAGUUACCGCGAAGCCUUCCGCUCAGAGAAAAAGCGGCAAGAGCUGAGGGCGCGGACUCGGAGUCCUGGCAGAGAGGAGGUGGCUCGGCUGUUUGGGGAGGAGCGCAGGCGUGCUCAAAUCAUCGGCCGAUAUGAAGAGGGUAAGCAUUUGGAGCAGAUGGACACGGGCAGCACCAACGAGCCCCCCGCUAACACCACGCAAAUCCAGAGACAAGGCCGCAGCGAGAGACGCUAUCUGGCUAACAAACAUGAUAUGUCACUGGAUGCAGGCAAGGACCGCUCAGUCCCUGAUGUGUCCAGCUCCACUUUUGCAAAUUUAAGAAGAGCAAAGUCACUGGAUCGCAGAGUCACCGAGUCCUCAAUGACGCCAGAUCUGCUGAACUUUAAAAAAGGAUGGAUGACAAAGCUCUACGACGACGGAAUGUGGAAGAAACACUGGUUUGUCCUGACAGAUCAGAGUCUGAGGUACUACAAGGACUCCAUAGCUGAAGAGGCUUCAGAACUGGAUGGUGAGAUUGACCUUACUACAUGUUACGAUGUCAAAGAGUUCCCAGUCCAAAGGAAUUACGGCUUUCAAAUCGUGUGUAAAGAUGGAGCAUGCACCCUGUCAGCCAUGACCUCUGGAAUCCGUCGCAACUGGAUUCAGGCGAUCAUGAAGAAUGUGCGACCCACCAUCGCCCCUGAUGUCACUCGGAAAAACAUCUCUCUGAAACUAUCCGUUCUGAAGCCCAGAUCCCUCCAUGAGGAGCAGAUACAAGCCCAAGUGAUGUUGGAGCCAUGUCCACAAGCCACCCCUGAGCCAAGCCCCAGUCCUGAGGCCCCCAGGUCUGAUGUCAACAGAAAGCAGGCCAUCAUCAAUGCCUCAGCGCCUCCCUCUGAGCCGCGGAAAAGCAGAGUCCGUGAGCGCAGACGAGAGGGUCGCUCCAAGACCUACGACUGGUCCGAAUUCAAAAUGGAACAGGCCGCAAAACCUGUAAAAGAACGAGCAGACACAGUGGACCUCAGCUCAUCUUUCUCCACGACGUCCUCAUACUGCUCUCCCUCCUCCUCUGCGUCCUCCUUAGCGUCCUCUCCCGUCUCUACCUCCUCGCUCCAGACCUCUUCUGUGUCAGGCUCCCACCCACAGUCCAUGCCAGAAGAAGCACAAAAAGAGAAUGUAAGGAAGGGUGUCCCUCCACCUUGCACAACCAGUGCAUCUCAGAUGCCAAAUACAGUUAGUGUCACCAUGAUGUCCACGCUUAACACUGCAUCGCCAGCGUCAUCAGUGCAUGAAGGCCAAGAGCAAGGAAGGAUGGAAGUAGACCACCCUGCAGCCAUGCAUCCUGCAGGUGAUGCUAAAAAGGACAACAGAACCUCAGAUGUCCAAGGAGAGAUUGAGCAGCGAUGGCAUCAGGUGGAGACCACACCGCUCAGAGAAGAGAAACAAGUGCCAAUUAACUCGGCUGUAGGAAACUCUGACAGGUUGCCUGCACAUGAGCUAGCUGCGCUGCUAGACAAAGAGUUAGGACAGAAGCAGAAGGAGCUAGACUGUCUGCAGAAGCAAAACAACGCUUUAAAAGAGCAGUUAGAAGAUGCACUCGGGAGAGAGCAAAGUGCCAGAGAUGGCUAUGUACUGCAGAGUGCAACACCCCCUUCCUCUUCACCGCACAGAGUGCCAUGGCAACGUUUGCAUACCCUUAAUCAAGAUCUGCAGGGGGAGUUGGAGGCCCAAAAGCACAAGCAGGACCUCGCACAGCAGCACAUCCGGACACUGAAGAGAAGCUACACAGAAGCCCAGGACGCUGUAGACCGCCAUGAGGCCGAUAUUCAGGCUCUGCAGGCUAAACUAGCGUCUGCAAUGGCUGAAAUCUUGGCUAGUGAACAGGCUGUGGCCAGAAUGCGCAAUGAGCUCAAGCUAGAGCAGGAGCGCUCAAAAGAACACGAGGAGGAAUACAGCCGUGGUGAGAGGACUUUGAGAACCCAACUAAAGGACAGUGAAGAUAGACUUCGUGAGGUAGAGGCCAGUCUCUUAGAGAGAAACCAGGCCCUCAGACACCUGGAGCGCCAGCAGGCUCUGCAGCGAGACCACAUGAGAGAGAUUCAGAGGCUACAGGAGAGACUACAAGAGGUGACUGCUCGGCUCGGUGCUACUGAAGAGGGUCAGGCACUGAAGGAGGAGCGCCUCAGGAAGGAGCAGCACGCCAUGCAAGAGAGUCACGAGAGGGAGAGACAGAACCUGUGCAGGAGAUUAGCUGAGGCUGAAGCUGCACAGAAAGAGAUGGAGAAGAGGCUGCUGGAGGCCGAGCAGCAGGUAGAGGCCCUCUUAAGAGGGAGACAGGCCUCUGCAGGAAAAGAAAGCAGGGAGGAGAUUCUGAAGUUACAAGAGGAACUGGCCCAGAAGACUGACACGGUGGAGUCACUAAGGCAGAGUGUGCAGAGGCUAGAAGAAGAGAGAGGGCAACUCACCUGCCGCUGUCAGGAGCUUCUCAAUCAGAUCGCUGAAGCAGACCGUGAGGUGAAUAAGCUCCGCAAUCGCCUGGAAUCAGAGGAGGCAGAUUACUACACUUUGGAGAGCUCAUAUGAAAGGGCUACCCAAGAGUUUCAGAAAAUAAGCCAGUUCCUUCGAGAAAAAGAGGAAGAGAUCCGGCAGACUAAGGAGAUGUAUGAGAGGCUGAUGGAACGCAAGGAAGAAGACUUGAAGGAGGCCUUUGUCAAAAUGGCUGCACUCGGAAACAGCUUAGAGGAAACGGAACAGAAGUUACAAGCUAAAGAGGAGCUUCUUUGUCAAAUGAGUCAAGGUCUCUUAAAUAGGGUUGAGCCCUGUAGUGCUGAAAAGGAUCUGCAAGCCAAGCUUGUGGUUGCAGAGGACCGCAUAGCAGAGCUAGAGCAGCAUCUUAAUGCCCUGCAGCUAGGCUACGCUGACCUACGCAUGGAAAGACAGCAAAUACCAGAACAUGGCAAGAAAGCUAGACUUAAAACAUCGCUCUCCUUAUCAGCAAACACAGUGCCCAAACUUUUGUUUGACAGUAGAUCCAAGUCAGAUAACUCCACUGAUGAUAAGGAGUCUCAAGCCAAGAGACCAAGGAUACGUUUUUCCACUAUUCAGUGUCAUAAGUACAUAAAUCAAGAGGGCCUGGAUAGUAGCCAGGUGAGCAACUUUUCAGACACAAGAAAAACAAUGCAUCAGAGUGAAAAUGAAGACAUGCAGCUAAGUGAAGGAAUCAUCUCCUCUGAUGCAACAUGCCCUCACAGUAGUGACCCAGAGAAGUUUAUCUCAAUCAUACAUGCCCUAGAGACCAAACUGCUGGCCACUGAGGAUACAUUAAGAAACCUCACACAGAAUCUUGAGGAGCAACACUCCACCCAAGCAGAAGACAUGAGCAAAGAGAUUGAUCAAAAAAUGACAGAAACCCAGUUUGAUAAAGAGUUUAGUUGUGAAAGCGGGUUACACAGUAUAGCAACUAAUAAGCAUUACGCUAAGGCCCUGGUGUGUGUAGAAAGCAGUCGAGAGAAAGUCAGGGGUAUUCUCAGUGGCUCUCACGAUACCACUGAUUCACAGCUGCACUCAUUGUCAGAGAUAGAGAACGAUUUGUUCAAUGCAUCUCUGUACAUCCGACAAGGACAGAAGUCAUCGGAAGAGCAGUCACCAGUUGUCCAACAAAUUCCAGAGACUGUAGAUAAAGACACUUUGCACCUCUUUGCCAAAACGUUGUCUUUUGAGGCUGUCGUUUUAAACAAGAUGGCUUUAUUGAUACAGACUUCAAAGUCAGAUGUCCUGCAAGGUCUUGCUGAUAUAUGGGAAGACAUAGAGAACAUUAAAAAGAGUGACAAAGAUUGCUUGGCUGUAGUUUAUGCUGAUGUCUUAACCAGGAAGUUGAUGCUAGAAGGUGCAUUCUGGAAAGAUUUAGAGAAAGCUGAGCUAGAUGUUGCCAAAUCCAAAAUGGACAGUGUUUCAGCUGAUGAAGAUAUAGACGCCAACAAAAUCUUCCACACCUUCAUUAAAGCAGAGCUAGCAUACUCUAUUCAACACCUUAAACAAUGUUAUGAAGAGAAAUUCAAAAUACUGAAAAGGGAGUUGACAGAAGCUCAUAAUGACCUACAUCAAAGGGAAACGGCUCUGAAAGCAAUCAUUGAAGCUUCCAAAACACCUGAUUUGAAAAAUGUAAUAAAAGAAGUCAAACAUAACUUUGGGUUUAAGAAACACAAGUUGGCAGACAUUCGCCCUCCUGAACUUGCUCCCUAUAUGGAACAGAUUGAAAUGGAAGAGGCUAGAGACUUGGCUGAGGAAAUUGUAGAGAGACAGUUGGCUUCUGAAAUGCCCUCUUGUGGCGUUGAUACCAUUGAAUCAUUUCAAAAUGCACAUGACAGCCUAGCUAACGAGCUUCAAAGACAAGCAGCAAUCCUCCAUAAGUAUUCCCAGGAGAUAGAAAGUGGUGGAAACCACCCUGGACUGGCCCAAAUGGUCCAUGCUCUUCUUGGGCACCAAUCUUCACACAGCAUCACUAGUAUGUCUCUUUGUAUGCGCGAAGCCCUCAUCCAAGCUCAAGUGGCUUAUGUGGCAUGCAGGUUACGGACAAUGCAUGAACAGGACUUGGGUUGGUGUAAACAGACAGGCCAGAACAUGGAUGCUCUUGUGCAGCAGCAUGCACACAAUGUCAGCAGAAUCAAAGAAAAAUAUGAGGCGUCACUAGAGGAUGAGCGCAAGAACUUCCAACGAACGAUAUCCGCUCUCCAGAAAGAGAACCAAACUCUGAAGGAUGACGUCAGCAAACGUGUAAACCAGCUCUGCCAGCAGCAGAAGCAACUGGGUCUCCUAGAGGAGAAUUUCCAGAAGGACAUUGAAAAGCUAAAACAGAGACACAUGCAAGAACUCAGCCAAGCCGAGAAAGGCCGUGUCUCAACAGAAAUGGCCCUCAUGGAGACGACGGCUGACAGUCAACGGAAGCUUGAGGUUCUGCUGGUGGACAUGAACACAAUGGAGGAACGGCACGAGAGUCAUGUGAGGAAACUGGAGGAGCAAUUUGAACAAAGGAUAUGUGAGCUCCAGCAUAUCCACAAAGAGGAGGUUGAAAAGUUACAUGCCCAGUAUAUGGAAAACAUUCAUCGUGUCCAAAUGCACCAACAGGACAAAAAAGGUCCUGAGGGUUCUCAUUGGCUUCCCUUUGAUGAGGCUGCUACACCGAUGGAAGAGGAGGAACAGGGGAAGGGGGAAAACAUGUCAGAGGUGGACUCCAUGGUGGUUCUGAAGGAUCGUAUCCAAGAGCUGGAGACUCAGAUGAACACCAUGAGGGACGAACUAGAGAACAAGCACCUAGAAGGAGAUGUGGCCAGCCUGAGAGAGAAAUACCAGAGAGACUUUGAAAGUCUUAAGGCCACUUGUGAACGUGGCUUUGCAGCAAUGGAAGAAACGCACCACAAGGUAAUCCAAGACCUCCAGAGGCAGCAUCAGAGGGAGAUUUCCAAACUGAUGGAAGAGAGGGAGAGACUUCUGGCAGAGGAGACUGCUGCUACAAUCGCUGCUAUUGAAGCUAUGAAGAAUGCCCACAAGGAGGAGCUAGAGAAGACCCAGCGCUCACAAGUCAGUGGACUGAACUCUGACAUUGAUGAACUUCGCUUACAAUAUGAAGAGGAGCUGCAGUCCAUCCAGAGAGAACUGGAGGUGUUGUCUGAGCAAUACUCUCAGAAAUGUCUGGAGAAUGCUCACCUGGCCCAGGCCCUAGAGGCCGAGAGGCAGGCACUCAGGCAGUGUCAAAGAGAGAACCAGGAACUGAACGCUCACAACCAGGAACUGAAUAACCGGCUGUCAGUAGAGAUCACUCGGAUGCGCUCUUGUUUCAGCGGUGAAACAGCACCAACACUUAGCCAGGGCAAAGACGUGUAUGAACUCGAGGUGUUGCUACGAAUUAAGGAGUCAGAGAUCCAGUAUCUGAAACAGGAAAUCCACUCUUUGAAAGAUGAACUGCAGUCGGCUUUAAGGGACAAGAAAUACGCCACAGACAAAUAUAAGGACAUCUACACGGAGCUCAGCAUUGUGAAAGCAAAGGCCGACUGUGACAUCAGCAAACUGAAGGAGAAGCUGCUCAUCGCCACAGAAGCUUUGGGCGAGAAGACUGUGGAUGGCACGGUCACAUCUGGAUACGAUAUCAUGAAAUCGAAAAGUAACCCUGAUUUCCUAAAAAAAGAACGAUCAUCCACCUCCAGGCAAUCCAGAGGUGUACGGUCAAAGUCCGUCACUGAACAGGUCUCAUGGGAUAGCUGACACUCCUAUUGUGGGGUGAUUCCCCCUCAGCCCCCGCCCAAACAUGUGCUCUAGCCUGAAAGAGGGACUAACUGUGCAGGAGCGUAUGAAGCUUUUCGAGGCAAAAGAUUCCAAAAAGAUUUAAAUAUCAAUCUGCAGUGAUUUGUCUCGCUCUCGCCUUGUUUCUAUUGGUCAGAUUGCUACAGCCGUGGCAGACUCAGCUGGGGACUCUUAGAGGAAAUGGAAAUAAAAACACUUUGAAGGUCAAUUCCAAACUUGGACCUGCUGCUUGAUAAGUGGUUAUGUUUUUGUUUGAUUUUUUUUUAGUUAAUGGAAAAAGGUUGUAAUAAUGGAAUCAUUUGAAAGGUUUCUAUAAGGAUUACUUCAGUGUUUAAUCUGUCCAAGUUGGAGAUGUGUUCAAAUGCUGUUCGAGGGAUACAUGCCAGCAUUGAUCCUCCUGAAUGCCAAAACAGACAGCAAUACACAGUAUAAAUAAUAUAUAUUUCCCAAUACAAAUUAAGUAUCUGCUGUAUUUUAUUGUUACACUUUCUUUAUCUCAUUUUUAAUGUUUGCACCAGUUCUGUUGUACAUAACUACUGGAUUUCUGUCAGAGUAUGGUUUGCAUCUGCUGUACUAUAACUAUGGUUUGAUUGAUAGUGGAAAUCAAUGUGAUGCUUAUCUUGCUUAUGUAUGAGAGUUUUAUAAAAAUGGAGUGUCUGUGUGUGAAGCGGGAAGAGGGCUGGGAUUGCAUUUAUCACUUGACUACUUGAGGAUUUUAUUUUAUUUGUCUCAAAUCGGUAUAGUGACUUCAAGUCAAUUCUCACAGUGCAACCAAACAAUGAAGACUUCAGUCAAAUUUAAUGAACUGUGACUUGUUUGUUAAACUGGAUUAUUAUUAUUUUUUGAAGUUUCUUAAAAUCUUAAAUUUGUGUUUGCUUAGUUUUGGCUUUGUUGUGAGAAAAUCAGCUCUGGAUACUUCAAACUAUUUUGGACUUUGCAUGACUGUACAGUGUCAUUUGAAUUGCAGAACGAUCAUGAUGCCUCUUUCUCCUAACGCUUCAGUGUGGAACUCUUAACACUAAUAAGCUUUGCUUUGCAAGUCCUACUGUUAAGUUGAGAUUGAAAUGUUUUACUGUAAGCGGCAGUCUUGAAGCACUUGGCCCAAUCCCUGUCCUCUCACUAGUCGUGCCUCAACUAAGAGAAGAAUAUAAACAUCCACGAAACCUGUGCAGCUAUGAUACACACUGUAUAGUAUUCAAACCACGCCUUGUAUAUAUAAGCCACACGGAGGACUUCUGUGUUUUGUUUUAAACUUGUAUCUUGCUCACUAGCUCUAUAUGAAAUAUAUAUGAAUAUUUUUUAUUUUCAUUUUAAUGUAUAUCGUCAAAUAAAUGAAGUGUUUGGACAUCUUUGAGUUAUAUUAA